GACAGAGGGUGCAACCGUUGUUCGGAAUUGCUGGGCGUAAAGCGCGUGUAGGCGGCUAAGUAAGUCGGGCGUGAAAUCCCACGGCUCAACCGUGGAAGUGCACUCGAAACUGCAUAGCUAGAGUCCUGGAGAGGAAGGUGGAAUGCUUGGUGUAGAGGUGAAAUUCGUAGAUAUCAAGCGGAACACCGGUGGCGAAGGCGGCCUUCUGGACAGUGACUGACGCUGAGACGCGAAAGCGUGGGGAGCAAACAGG
rnacentral:rRNA from 1 species